rnacentral:rRNA from 1 species
GAUGAACGCUGGCGGCGUGCCUAAUACAUGCAAGUCGAGCGAACGGACGAGAAUCUUUCUUCUCUGAUGUUAGCGGCGGACGGGUGAGUAACACGUGUAUAACCUACCUAUAAGACUGGGAUAACUUCGGGAAACCGGAUCUAAUACCGGAUAAUAUUUUGAACCGCAUGGUUCAAAAGUGAAAGACGUUCUUGCUGUCACUUAUAGAUGGAUCCGCGCUGCAUUAGCUAGUUGGUAAGGUAACGGCUUACCAAGGCAACGAUGCAUAGCCGACCUGAGAGGGUGAUCGGCCACACUGGAACUGAGACACGGUCCAGACUCCUACGGGAGGCAGCAGUAGGGAAUAUUCCGCAAUGGGCGAAAGCCUGACGGAGCAACGCCGCGUGAGUGAUGAAGGUCUUCGGAUCGUAAAACUCUGUUAUUAGGGAAGAACAUAUGUGUAAGUAACUGUGCACAUCUUGACGGUACCUAAUCAGAAAGCCACGGCUAACUACGUG